AUGAUUACUUUCACCCUUGUGUUGAAGGUCACUUCUGCAUCCCAUCUCAAUUUCUGCUGGACCCUCCCCUGCUGCAAGAUACCUUUACUCACCUGGAUACCUUUCAAAUGUGCACUGCCCUCCCACAGAAUAAGCAUGAGCAAAGGUUAUAAAGCUGGAUAUUGCCAGGCACUAGACAGGAUAUUCUUUCCUUGCCAAAGCUGAUGAUACAGGUUUGAGACGUAACAGCUGGGAGUAGGAGAGAUAUAAAAUGUUAUUUGAGGUGGCUGCAAAUAAAGAAC
rnacentral:lncRNA from 1 species